rnacentral:rRNA from 1 species
UAGAUACCCGGGUAGUCCACACCGUAAACGAUGAAUGCCAGACGUCAGCAAGCAUGCUUGUUGGUGUCACACCUAACGGAUUAAGCAUUCCGCCUGGGGAGUACGGUCGCAAGAUUAAAACUCAAAGGAAUUGACGGGGGCCCGCACAAGCGGUGGAGCAUGUGGUUUAAUUCGACGCAACGCGCAGAACCUUACCAACCCUUGACAUACUUGUCGCGGAUUCCAGAGAUGGAUUCCUUCAGUUCGGCUGGACAAUGUACAGGUGCUGCAUGGCCGUCGUCAG